UACGUAGGGGGCAAGCGUUGUCCGGAUUUAUUGGGCGUAAAGAGCGUGUAGGCGGCCACACAGGUCCGUUGUGAAAACUCGAGGCUCAACCUCGAGACGCCGAUGGAAACCGUGUGGCUAGAGUCCGGAAGAGGAGUGUGGAAUUCCCGGUGUAGCGGUGAAAUGCGCAGAUAUCGGGAAGAACACCUAUGGCGAAGGCAGCACUCUGGGACGGUACUGACGCUGAGACGCGAAAGCGUGGGGAGCGAACAGG
rnacentral:rRNA from 1 species